GAUGAACGCUGGCGGCGUGCCUAAUACAUGCAAGUCGAGCGAACGGACGAGAAGCUUGCUUCUCUGAUGUUAGCGGCGGACGGGUGAGUAACACGUGGAUAACCUACCUAUAAGACUGGGAUAACUUCGGGAAACCGGAGCUAAUACCGGAUAAUAUUUUGAACCGCAUUGUUCAAAAGUGAAAUACGGUCUUGCUGUCACUUAUAGAUGGAUCCGCGCUGCAUUAGCUAGUUGGUAAGGUAACGGCUUACCAAGGCAACGAUGCAUAGCCGACCUGAGAGGGUGAUCGGCCACACUGGAAGUGAGACACGGAACAGACACCUACGGGAGGCAGCAGUAGGGAAUCGUCCGCAAUGGGCGAAGGCCUGACGGAGCAACGCCGCGUGAGUGAUGAAGGUCUGCGGAUCGUAAAACGCUGUUAUUAGGGAAGAACAUAUGUGUAAGUAACUGUGCACAUCUUGACGGUAACUAAUCAGAAAGCAACGGCUAACUACGUG
rnacentral:rRNA from 1 species